rnacentral:rRNA from 1 species
GAUGAACGCUGGCGGCGUGCUUAACACAUGCAAGUCGAACGAAGCACUUUAUUUGAUUUCCUUCGGGACUGAUUAUUUUGUGACUGAGUGGCGGACGGGUGAGUAACGCGUGGGUAACCUGCCUUGUACAGGGGGAUAACAGUUGGAAACGGCUGCUAAUACCGCAUAAGCGCACAGCAUCGCAUGAUGCAGUGUGAAAAACUCCGGUGGUAUAAGACGGACCCGCGUUGGAUUAGCUAGUUGGUGAGGUAACGGCCCACCAAGGCGACGAUCCAUAGCCGACCUGAGAGGGUGACCGGCCACAUUGGGACUGAGACACGGCCCAAACUCCUACGGGAGGCAGCAGUGGGGAAUAUUGCACAAUGGGCGAAAGCCUGAUGCAGCGACGCCGCGUGAGCGAAGAAGUAUUUCGGUAUGUAAAGCUCUAUCAGCAGGGAAGAUAAUGACGGUACCUGACGAAGAAGCACCGGCUAAAUACGUG